rnacentral:rRNA from 1 species
GCAGCAGCCACGGUAACACGUAGGGUGCAAGCGUUAAUCGGAAUUACUGGGCGUAAAGCGUGCGCAGGCGGUUAUAUAAGACAGAUGUGAAAUCCCCGGGCUCAACCUGGGAACUGCAUUUGUGACUGUAUAGCUAGAGUACGGCAGAGGGGGAUGGAAUUCCGCGUGUAGCAGUGAAAUGCGUAGAUAUGCGGAGGAACACCGAUGGCGAAGGCAAUCCCCUGGGCCUGUACUGACGCUCAUGCACGAAAGCGUGGGGAGCAAACAGGAUUAGAUACCCCCGUAGUCCCUGUCUCUUAUAC